UACGUAGGUGGCGAGCGUUGUCCGGAAUUAUUGGGCGUAAAGGGUGCGUAGGCGGCUUUUUAAGUGGGAUGUGAAACCCCCGGGCUUAACCUUGGGAUUGCAUUCCAAACUGGAGAGCUAGAGUGCAGGAGAGGAAAGUGGAAUUCCCAGUGUAGCGGUGAAAUGCGUAGAGAUUGGGAGGAACACCAGAGGCGAAGGCGGAUCACUGGACCGGAACUGACGCUAAGGCGCGAAAGCUAGGGGAGCAAACAGG
rnacentral:rRNA from 1 species